UACGUAGGUGGCAAGCGUUGUCCGGAUUUACUGGGCGUAAAGAGCGCGCAGGCGGUCGUUCAAGUCGAGUGUGAAAGCCCCCGGCUCAACUGGGGAGGGUCACUUGAUACUGACGGUCUCGAGUCCGGGGAGAGGUGAGUGGAACUGCGAGUGUAGAGGUGAAAUGCGUAGAUAUCUGGAGGAACACCGGUGGCGAAGGCGGCAUCCGUGGACCGGUAUUGACGCUGAAGCGCGAAAGCUAGGGGAGCAAACGGG
rnacentral:rRNA from 1 species